CUGGGGAGCUCAUCACUUCUUGAGGAAUCCCAUUAUAUGUUGAAUAGCUCUCUUUGGUGAAAAGUGGUCUUGUCACUAUAAUAUGGUAGUUGAGAAUGUGACUCUGAUAGAUGUGAUGUGAUACGGUAUGUGACUCUGGAGCCAGCCUGCGGGGGCCUGAAUUCUGACUCAGCCACUUACUGUGUGACCUUGGAGGGAGAUACAGAGGAAAGACAUCCGUGUGAAGAUGGAAGCAGAGAUUGGAGUUGUGCUGCCACAAACCAAGGAAUGUCAAGAAUUACUGGCAACCACCAGAA